rnacentral:rRNA from 1 species
CUACGGGAGGCAGCAGUGGGGAAUUUUUCGCAAUGGGGGAAACCCUGACGAAGCAACGCCGCGUGGAGGAUGAAGGCCUUCGGGUCGUAAACUCCUGUCGACCGGGAAGAAUGCGCACGACCUAAUACGUCGCUGCGUUGACUGUACCGGUGGAGGAAGCCACGGCUAACUCUGUGCCAGCAGCCGCGGUAAUACAGAGGUGGCAAGCGUUGUUCGGAAUUACUGGGCGUAAAGGGCGCGUAGGCGGUUUGCCAAGUCCCGUGUGAAAGCCCUCGGCUCAACCGAGGAACGGCGCGGGAAACUAGCAGGCUUGAGUUCGGGAGAGGGAAGCGGAAUUCCGGGUGUAGCGGUGAAAUGCGCAGAUAUCCGGAGGAACACCGGUGGCGAAGGCGGCUUCCUGGACCGACACUGACGCUGAGGCGCGAAAGCUAGGGGAGCAAACGGGAUUAGAUACCCCCGUAC